rnacentral:rRNA from 1 species
UACAGAGGGUGCGAGCGUUACUCGGAAUUACUGGGCGUAAAGCGCGCGUAGGCGGCUUUGCAAGUCGGGUGUGAAAUCCCCAGGCUUAACCUGGGAACUGCAUUCGAGACUGCAUUGCUAGAGUAUGGGAGAGGGAAGUGGAAUUUCCGGUGUAGCGGUGAAAUGCGUAGAUAUCGGAAGGAACAUCAGUGGCGAAAGCGACCACCUGGACUGAUACUGACACUGAGGUGCGAAAGCGUGGGGAGCAAACAGG